CACGAAGUUAGCCGGUGCUUAUUCUUUGGGUACCGUCAUCCCAACCGGGUAUUAGCCAGCUGGAUUUCUUUCCCAACAAAAGGGCUUUACAACCCGAAGGCCUUCUUCACCCACGCGGUAUGGCCGGAUCAGGCUUGCGCCCAUUGUCCAAUAUUCCCCACUGCUGCCUCCCGUAGGAGUCUGGACCGUGUCUCAGUUCCAGUGUGGCUGAUCAUCCUCUCAGACCAGCUACGGAUCGUCGCCUUGGUGGGCCUUUACCCCGCCAACUAGCUAAUCCGACAUCGGCUCAUUCAAUCGCGCAAGGCCCGAAGGUCCCCUGCUUUCACCCGUAGGUCGUAUGCGGUAUUAGCGUAAGUUUCCCUACGUUAUCCCCCACGACAGAGUAGAUUCCGAUGUAUUCCUCACCCGUCCGCCACUCGCCACCCAGAGAGCAAGCUCUCCUGUGCUGCCGUUCGACUUGCAUGUGUUAGGCCUACCGCCAGCGUUCACUCUGAGCCAGGAUCAAACUCU
rnacentral:rRNA from 1 species